GCAAUAUGACACGACAUUUUCGAGCGGUUCACGAUUAUUUUAUUUCUUGCGCAAUCAAAAUACAGCCACAGGAUAUGAGGGAGGGAUAAUAAAAAGAAAAAGGUAAAAAAAGGAUAUGUCCGCAAAGGAUAUGUUCGAAAGAUUAUGUCCGAAGGGGCCGAAGUAUAUAUGUUCGGCGAAAGGUAUGGCUAGUUUACAUUGUUC